rnacentral:rRNA from 1 species
CCGUACCUACGGGACGCAGCAGUAGGGAAUCUUCGGCAAUGGGGGCAACCCUGACCGAGCAACGCCGCGUGAGUGAAGAAGGUUUUCGGAUCGUAAAGCUCUGUUGUAAGUCAAGAACGGGUGUGAGAGUGGAAAGUUCACACUGUGACGGUAGCUUACCAGAAAGGGACGGCUAACUACGUGCCAGCAGCCGCGGUAAUACGUGGGUCCCGAGCGUUGUCCGGAUUUAUUGGGCGUAAAGCGAGCGCAGGCGGUUUG